rnacentral:pre_miRNA from 1 species
UACCUUGUAAUGUCAGCUUUAUGUUUGUGAUCAUGUAAAAGUGACAUUACAAGGUAAU